rnacentral:rRNA from 1 species
GACGAAGGUGGCGAGCGUUGUUCGGAAUCACUGGGCAUAAAGCGCACGUAGGCGGCGGCGUAAGUCGGAUGUGAAAUCCCUGGGCCUAACCCAGGAACUGCGUCCGAUACUGCGUUGCUUGAGGACCAAAGGGGUGCAUGGAAUUCCCGGUGGAGCGGUGAAAUGCGUUGAUAUCGGGAGGAACGCCGGCGGCGAAAGCGGUGCACUGGUUGGUUUCUGACGCUGAGGUGCGAAAGCCAGGGGAGCAAACGGG